AUGGCGGUUGGUCGAAGGGUAUUGAGGAGAGAGCUAAGGAGAGAGCAGAGAAGGAGGGACCGUCUUCACCUCCUUAUGAUUACAGAGCAUCUCCUGAUAUUCAGUUCGUAUCUGAUCACGAGGCUGGUCCCUCAGAGUCAGUGAGGAGGCAUGCUUCAGUUUCACAGUCAGAGAGUAGGGUACAUCCUUCAGAGUUCAGACUUGCAGAUGAUCGAUUGAGUUGAUAUCCUAACGUGUUGCCUCCAUUUUAUCUCAGCAGUUUGCCACCUCAGUUUUUACUCAGAGGUCGACAUCUCAACAUAACUCAGACUAGACUUUGAUCUCUUAUAUCUCUACUAUCUUUCAGAUGCUUACAGCUC
rnacentral:lncRNA from 1 species